GGGGAUAGAGGGACUUGAACCCUCACGAUUUCUUAAGUCGACGGAUUUUCCUCUUCCUAUAAAUUUCAUUGUUGUCGAGAUUGACAUGUAGAAUGGGACUCUAUCUUUAUUCUCGUCCGAUUAAUCAGUUCUUCAGAGGAUCUAUCAGACUAGGAUGGAGUGAAUAAAUUGAUCAGUUAAUAUGAAUAUUCAAUUAUUUCUUUAACUUGGAAUUGAUUUGAUUCACAUCUUUCAUUUGUGAUACACAUCUUUCCAUUUGUGAUAUAAGGAUUCAUAAAUAGGGAUUUCGAGU
rnacentral:lncRNA from 1 species